rnacentral:lncRNA from 1 species
AAAUGGAGGGUGUAGUGUAGCUGGGGAGCUCACUGUGGCAUUUCACUUUCCCUCCCAGGCCAGAAACCCGGUGGGGCGUGCCGGGCCUCCCCCGGCCAUCUCAGGCGAGCUGGAGGCUGCUGCCCGCCCCUUGGUGAGUCCACCCCGUGCUUGACAGAGCCCAGGCCAGGUUCUUCAACUCCAGAAGGGUUUCAGGCAGGACCGGUGGAGAAGCUCCGGUGACACCUCACUUCCAUCAGACCCAGGAUCUACUGCCUCCUAACCAAAGGAGGUCUCUGCAGUGAGUCCCGUGUCUCAUAGCGAGUUGGAGGCAGGAAUGGGAGUGCGAGUCUGUCCUGUCGGCUCUGAUACAGAAAGGAACCCCAUAGGACCAACCUCAGCAGUGCAUAGCUCAGGGUAAGAUAAUACAAGGAAGAAUCUGACCUCCUAUUAUGCUCCAAACAGAGACUGCUCAAUUCAUC